rnacentral:rRNA from 1 species
AUUGAACGCUGGCGGCAGGCCUAACACAUGCAAGUCGAACGGCAACACAGUACGGGUUUGUGCUUCCCGGUGGCGUGGCGGGGGGGUGAGAGGUGUAUAUCGAACUCUACUUUUGCGGGGGAGAUCACGUAGGGAAGCUUACGCUAAUACCGCAUACGCGCUACAGGAAAGAGGAGGGGACCUUCGGCCCUUGCGCGAUGGAAUGCCCAGAUGGCAGUAUCGUGAUGGUGGGGUAAAGGGGCACCAAGGCGACGAUCCGUAGCUGGUCUGAGAGGAUGAUCAGCCACACUGGAACUGAGACACGGUCCAGACUCCUACGGGAGGCAGCAGUGGGGAAUAUUGGACAAUGGGCGCAAGCCUGAUCCAGCCAUACCGCGUGUGUGAAGAAGGCCUUCGGGUUGUAAAGCCCUUUUGUUGGGGAAGAAGAGCAUCAGGUUAAUACCUCGCUGUACUGACGGUACCCGAAGAAGAAGCACCGGCUAACUUCGUG